ACUGCGGCUACAGAGCCCCGAGUGGGAGGCCGGGGGGAGGCGGGGGCGCCGGAGCUGGGCUGCCUCUUACCUAUCAGGUAAGACUGACCCACGGGAGGGAGGUUUCUAGUCAAGGCUGUUUCCCCCAGGAAAUUUAAAAGCUAGAUUUCGGCUUCAGGGCGAUAGGCCAUGGUGAGGGGAUCUGUAUUUUUUAAGGUUUUUCUAAAGGACUUCUGGGCCAGCCUUCCACCUUGGGAUCCCCAGAUUUGCUGCCGUGAGGUACCUGGAAGGAACAGAGGGACGCCCAAGGGCAGUGACUGGGGGCAGUUAUGGUCACUACAAAAGGAGAACAGGGAUCCCCAGGAAGUGUCUCACGUCCGGCGCUGUGGAAUUAGUUGCUGAUCAAGUAGGGAGAAAAUGUAAAUAUCACCUUUUCUCCUGCUCCCCUUGCCCAUCCGUGUGACGGGGGGACUCACACCUAAGGCUGAGGGCAUGGGGGAGGGGAAAUGAGAGGUCCCUUAUCAUAUUCCGAAGUCUAUCCGUGACUUUAAAAAGCUGUUAGGGACCUUCAGAGGGUUCAUAAGGCCAAAACCCUACUGUGCAAAUAUUGGCUGAAAUGUUUGUUUCACACACAGCUCCCACACCCAUUGAACCACCCUAUAAGUUUUUAACCUUGACCACAAGGAUAACAGGGAGAAAACAAGGAUGGUGCCAGCUCAACUGUACAGGAAAAUGGUUACUUCAUGAGUGGACCAGAUCAGCAGCCUGGGUCUACUUGAAGCGCCCCUUUCAGGGUCACCUUGCGGUAUCAGUCUCCCCACAAACAAACGCUCCCCAGAGUUUUUUUAUUUUUUAAGCCGACCUAUAAACAAGCAGUUUGUCCCUGCUUGCUCGCCUGGCACUAAGGACCCACAGAGAUGUCACUCGGUUUAAUGCUGUCUCAUUUUGAUGCCUGGCCCGUUUGGGGUUGCCGCCCCUUUACUACGCCGGGACCCUCCUCGGCCUCAGGCUCCCAGGCACUGCAGGAUGCUGGCUGGGCACUCAGCAGUCGAGGCGCUGGGCAUGCUCAGUGGCUGGGACCCGGCGGGCCGCGGGGGAGCGCGCCUCGGCCCAAUGCGGCUGAGGGGCGGAGCGAGUUUCCCGGGGAGGCCUGCUGAUUGGUGGGAUGGCCUGUUUUUCAAGCCUUGCACUGCAGAGGGAAGGUGGGGGUAGAAGGGUUGAGGGUACCAAGGUAGGUUGCAAAGCGUAGUAAAAAAAGAAAAAGAAGAUGAUGAUGAUGAAGGAGAAAAAGAACCAUAGGCGCCAUUCAGGGGUGUGCGAUACGUAAAUUAGGGGGAUUGGGCAUCUGCAGAGGGGCUCCUCCCCACCCAAGCCUGGGAGCCUCUCGUUUCUCCUCUCCCCUUCCUGUUCCCGGUCGUCAUGCAGCCUCAUCUAAACCUGGUUAAUCUAUAAUUUGAGUACACAUGUUGAAUUGAAAGCCCUCCCUUCUUUUCCUCUGACAGCUUGGUGAUGUGGGCACACGUGCCCACUACAGCAAGGCUAUUAAUAGCAGAUAUUUGGAAAUGGAAGCGAGGCGGCACUCACAGUGACCGAAAUUCUGGGGGUAUAGAGUGCCUUACAGGGGGUAGGGCAGGGAGGUGCAGAAUAAAGAAGCCUGAAGUUGGUGGAAAAGUGUAACUGUGUGCCUGGUUUUACCCUAGACAAGAAAAAAGAGAGAUUAUAAAAGGGUUGUUUACUAGUAACAAUGUAAUCCAGAUAAGGCCAAAGGGCUUUUCACAGGUUUGAUGUUUAGCGCUGGGAUGGGGGUAGUGGAGUAAUUAACAUUUUGUAAGACAACAAAUCAAAUCCAUGGACAUUUACUUUUCAAAUGGCCCUGUCCCUACCUCCGUCCCUCCACCCCCCACCCCCCAAAAAAAGCUAAAUAAAGGUACUGUACCUCUAUGGGGGAAAAAUACUCUUUUCUGGAAGGAGGGGAGGGUUGGAAAAUUUAUUUGCACGUACCUCACAAUUAUCUUCAUAGGAAGGAUUUUGAUCAUAAAAAGCUAAUUAUGAUAAUAAACCUUUUAAAAAAUAUAUCUCUCAGUGUUAAAGCAUUUCUGCUUUAAAAAACACAAUUUCAGUUGCUAAAUAUUCGAUAAAAAUUAUGAAAUAAGCCUCACUGCUGUGACAAAUUAUGUUCAGACCAAUGGGUUUCCUAUGGAAGAUAAUCACUGAUCAUAGGAUAUUAGUGCCAUUUUUUCUACUUGCUGAUGUUUUACUACCAAUUUAAAGGUGGUUAAUAUUUGUUAUAAUUAUACUACAGUAAAUUCAAUUGUUCUCUACAAUUGUUUUAUUAAUGGGCUAACUGGAAAUUCAUUUACAUUUGGUUCAUGUAAUAUAUAGAAUAGAAAGAGACGCGUUUGUGGGAACUCACUGAAGUAAUGCUGAGCAGGUAUGGGUAUUAUUCUGUCACCUAAGCUAAAUUAGUCUUUUGGUGUAUUGUAAUGAAAUACACUGUAUGAAAAAUUUACUCCCCACUGAAAAUUCACGGAACAGAAGAACAAGCUAUUACCAAAAUCUGUUGCUCAAUGCUGCCAUCUAUAGGAGAGUUAGAGCCGAUUUGUGUAAUAUGCUAAGGUUCAUUUUAAAAGAGGGCUAAAAUAGUGAUUUCAUCACAACAUUGCAACAGCUACGUUGAUGUCACUAAUACAGUCCUAAUUCAAGGAGUUAAGGGUUUACAUGCUAUGGACGCACUUUGGGGCAAUAGGUCUACAACUAGCUUUAAAAUUGAGUUAUUGGUUUAUGUAUGAUACUAUCAGGAAAAUAAUGCAAAAUUUAUAGAUUAUUACAUAUAUCUGUAAAGUGCUUGAGUUGGGUGGAUGUAAAACUAAACAUUUCAAAAUUAUAAAACACUUUUUGUAUCAAAACAUAUGUUUUCCUUAAGAUGUAUGGGUCAUAACUGGAGGAGCUAUUUAAAUACUGGCGUCUCUUAGAAUUAAUUUUGGCAAUUUAGAACAGUGCUUGAAGGACAAUUGAAUGUGGAUUUUCUCACUUUAAGAUCUGUUUUUAUUUUAAGAUGGCUCAAUAGUAAUAAGCAUUUGAAUGCUUACUCUGCAAGGCAAUAUGAAAUAGAUAAAAAGACAGCUUCUUACAGCUUUGAUGGGGUAAUAAGAGAGUACAAAAUAACAAUAGUUGAUGACUAAAAUGUGUGUGUGUGUGUGUGUGUGUGUGAGAGAGAGAGAGAGAGAUGUCAAAUAACAAGUGGUAUUUACUUUCAUGAUGGAUGAAAUAACUACUUAAUUUUUACAGAAGAGAGGAGCCUUAAGCUUGAACUUGAAAUGGGCUAUAACUCAGAUAAAUGGCAAUUAUUUUUUCCCACUCAAGUUUUUUGGAACACCUACUUGUGUUAGGCACUAGGCUGGACACUGAGGAUUUAGAUAUCAAAGACAUGCUGCCCACAGGAAACUUACAUCGAAAAUGGCAGAUGAACACAAUUGCAGAGCACUAUGAUCUCUUUUGUGGAAAAAAUAGGCACAGGGCAAAUGAGAUCACAUAACAACCAACUGCCUUCUGACAUAAACAUUAUCAGUUACAGACAGUGCAAUUUGGGAAUCUGAAAGGUGCCUCUUCCCUUAAAAACUUUGUUUUCUCAUGUAAUUAAAAUCUUUCAUCUGUUUUAUUUAAAAAUAUAUAAAAUAGGCCAAUUAAAAGAGAGCUGAAAAGUCACACUUGGCUUGUAAAUCGGCUAGAUCAGGGCUUCUCAAACCCGAGGAUCUUGUUAUAAUGCAGGUUCUGGUUAAAUGCAGAAGGUCAAGGGCAGUCUGAGGCAGUGCAUUUUUAACAUACUCUAGGUGAUGCUGAUUCUGCUGGGUAAGUAGCAUAGUUCUAAUGACUGAUGAUUAAUUGAAAGACAAUAAUUUGGUGCUGUGACAUGCAAGCAAGGCACUUAUACUUUAGUAUUAUAUACAUAUACAGAGAGAACAACAGCAAGAAAAAUUCUACUUAACUGAGGCUUCAUUGUAUUUGGGCUUCUCUCUUUUCAAUCACAGGCAUCAAAUCUUUCUGGUAAGCAUGAAGAGUUAUUAUCAAACAGUUGUGUUAGUGUUUUCCAAGGUGUGAUUGAAAAUGGAGAUUUCUUACCUCAUCCCAGUCCUGCUAAACCAAAAUCUCUUAGGGAAGGAUGGGCCCCCCAGCAUUCACAGUUUAAGCAGCAUUACAGGAGAUUAUUAUUUACAUCAAAAUUUAAGAAUCAUUGGCUUAAACACAAAGAAAAAAAUGUAAUUUUAUUCUUCCAGAAUUGGCAAAUGCACAGCCUUAACCAGUCAACAAAGAUCUUCACCUGUGGGCUGUUUACUACAGCUGGGUGGAGCAGGCAAUGACCCAAACCUGCAUGAGUCUCCCAAUAUGAAUUGAUUUUCCUUUGAAGAAUAUCAAUUACUGGCAAUCAGCUAGUGAGAAUCCAGUUCUGCUCUCAUCUUGAUUUCAUCCCUCAUCUCUUCUAGAGAACUGAGGGAAAAUAAAUGCACCAAGAACUAACAUGGGAUUUUGGAAAGACAGUAAUGCCCUCAACAGAUGAUUUCAAAACAUUUGCUGUUUGAGGAGCAAAUAAAGCAUGAAAUAAACAGGUGGAUGAGGUUGGAAGAAAGGAGGGAGGUGAAAACUCCAUGCCACUGUUUAAUUCUUUCACUUCAGAAAUUCUACUGAUUGAUUGGUGAUUUGGGGAGUGGUGAAGAGAAUCCAUAACUGAUAUUUGUCUAAAAAACUUGGUCCUGGUCCAGGCAUAGUAGCUUAUGCUUGUAAUCUCCGCAAUUUGGGAGGCAGAAGCAGAAAGAUCCUUGAGCCCAGGAGUUCAAGUUUGCAGUGAGCUAUGAUCAUGCCACCGCACUAUAGCCUGGGUGACAGAGUGAGACUUUGUCUCUAAAAAUAAAUAAAAAGACAACUAGCUUUUUCUUUUUUAAUUUUCUUGAUUUCCUUAACUAUUAUAUUCUCAUUUUCUUGUUUGAUAAGAAUCAGGGGUCUGCCAGUCAAUUUGUUAUCUUAGACAAUGCCACUAAUGUUUUUGGUCAUUUAAUCCAGAGAAAGAACCCCCAGCUGUUUUGUUUGUUUGUUUGUUUGUUUUGUUUUGUUUUGAGGCAGAGUCUUAUUCUCACCCAGGCUGGAGUGCAGUGGCGCCGUCUCGGCUCACUGCAACCUCCACCUCCCAGGUUGAAGCAAUUCUUCUGCCUCAGUCUCCUGAGUAGCUGGGAUUACAGGCAUGCCCUACCACGCCCAGGUAAUUUUUGUAUUUUUAGUAGAUACGGAGUUUCACCAUGUUGGCCAGGCUAGUCUUGAACCCCUGACCUCAGGUAAUCCACCCGCCUUGGCCUCCCAAAGUGCUGGGAUUAUAGGCGUGUGCCACCACACCCAACCACUGUUUCUCAUAUUUGAAGAGCCAAGUGUUAUAUCUAGAUAAGCAUAUGCUUAGAAAGAUUUGCAGACUUUACAACACCUUUUGCUGGUUUUGCCCCCUUCUUUAUCUUAAAUUUGUCUUUUUGGUGCAGUGCACUCUAAACUUUCUAAAUUUAAAUUUAUAUUUAAAAUCUAAAAUUUGAUAGCCCAAAAAUGUCUUCACAGUAAUCCCUCAACUUCAUUUGUUUAUUUUUUAAUGUGAAUUUCAGUAAUGAUGAAUGUCCCAUGCCCUCUAUUCAGUGGGCAGGAUCUAGAGGUAGAGCUAGUUGGUUUUACUGUUGGUCAUAUUAACAAAGAAUUGCUAGGUCACCAUGUCCCUCUCAUUCUUCUCACAUCCCCUCCUCAAUUGCAAGGCAAAUCAUCAUAACUUUUUCUCAGUAAUGAUGGAUAUUCCGUGCUCUCUAUUCACUUGGCAGGGUCUGGUGGUAGAACUAGUUGAUUUCACUAACAAAGAAUUGCUGGGUCACCAUGGCCCCCUCAUUCUUCCCAUAUCCUCUCCUCAACUGCAAGGUUAACGAACAUCUCUCUCUCUCUCUUUCUUCUUCUUCUUUUUACUGGGUCUCAUCACUCCAAGGUUCUUUAUUUUAAGAAAGAAAAAAAAAACUGACUAGAAGAUUAAGGACAUUAGUUUUCUGUGGAUUGGGAAGAUACAAGUUAAUUUGAACUUAAGAAAUUUGUAAUUGCAUCACUACCUGUGGUGUUGUCCGGUGUGACUCUACAAGUGGGCAGAGGGUUACCCAUAUCAGAAUCACCUGUGGAAUUGUUCAAAUCAAAGCUUCCUGUGUCCCACCUCUGAUCCUUCUAAAUCAGAUCCUCUGUAGGUCAAUGUGUAGUUCCCCCAUUUCCCAUUCCCACCUCCAUGAGUUUUAUGUAUGCUAAGAUUUGAAAGCCACUGAUCGGCCUAUCUCUAAAAUCCUAGAUUACAAAUGAAGACAUUAGGAAAUAUAUGCAAUAUUAACCUCCAGCAACUGUCACAAGUUUGGUCAAUAGUUUUUCUGAAAUAUUUUACUGCAGUGACUUUAAAACUUUUGACCAUGACCUGCAGUAAAAAUACAUUUAUAAACACAUUGAACAUCAGUGCGCACACACACACUCAGACUCACUUACAACGAAAUACAACUUACCCUUACUACCUGCAAUGCACUCAGAUCUUUUUACUCUUUCUUAUCUCUCUUUCUCUCAAUCUCACACUUUCUCUUUUUCUUUUAAUGCUUUCUAAGACCCACUAAAUUAAUUUCCUAGCACACUAAGGUGUCAUGACCUACAGUCUGAAAACACCAACUUUCUAUAUGAAUAUUUCUGAAUUCAAAAACAGAACAGAACAAUGAUCAUCUCUAGAUCCUUGGAUGCACCACCAAUUGAACUCCUAAGGAGGAAAUUCACAAUGCUUCCAAUGGAUUCGAGUUUACCUAAGAUUAUUUUUGGUACUAACCAAGAAUGAUUUUUUCACUGCUUUUUUUUCUUAAGUGGUUGGGCACCAGUCUGUCCCUACUAAGCAAUGAAAUCUGAUGCACUUACAGUUUUCAUACAGUGGAAAUCUGAAGACAGGCAAAAGGCAAAUUAAGAACACUGAAUGUGAUUCAGUUACUAUUUUAAAAAAUAGACAUUUAUCAUCACUUCCCAAUAUUAUUUCAUUGUGAUAAUUGAGCUAAUGUUGUUUGCUAUAUAAAGUAUUGGAGGAAAAUAAGUUAGAGAUUAUAAAUGUAUUUAAAAUAUAUUCUUGUAAAUUUGUAUUUUAUUUUUGCAUCAGUUUUGGAUUGGGGUUAAAGGAGAAAAUAGUGGUUUUCUUUUAUAAAGAAGAAAAAUUUUAAAAACUGCUUACCAGGAAUUUAAAUUAUUAGUUUUAUUAAUAACAUUAGUUUCAUAAAAACUAGAUAAAAUGUUGCUAUUUUGUAUUUCUUAAUUUACCAAACAUAAAUGUCUUUGAUUCCUAGGAAAUUAAAAUUUUAAGGGCUAAUUCCCCUUCAUUCAAGAAAUAUUUACUGUGAUGAAGACAUGUUCCAUGCAGAGGAAAUGGCCAAUGCAAAGAGCCCCUGACUGGAGGGCAUUUGGCACAUUCUAGGAGAGUGAGGAGGAUUCUAUGGGCCAGGAAUUCAGACAGGGCACAGUGUUGAUGGCUUGUCUGUGUCCUGGCUGGGAUGGCUCAAAUGGUUGUGGGACUAUUUGACUUGAAAGGCUGGAGCCUGGAAUCAUUUGAAACAUUGUUCACUCAUGUGUCUGGCACCUGCGUUAGAAUGACUGAAGGCUACAUCAACUAGAGUACUUACAUCCGGUCUCUCCAUGUGACUUGGACUUUUCACAGCGUGGAGGCUGGAUUUCAAAGGCAGGAAGACACCAUAUCAGGAAAAAGAGAGUGAACAACUGAGUCAAUUGCUGCUGAUGGUCAAGUCAGAAGAAGACUUGGAAUUAACAUAAGAUCUAGCAUCAUGUCAACUGAGAAUGGCAGAGGACUCAUCCCACCUUUGCCACAUGGUGACUUGCCCCACUCCCCCAGGUGACCUUGCUCGUGCAUGUGGAUAUUUGCUCAGAUUAAGAAUGUUUCCCACAAAAUUGCUUACUCUCUUUCAUUCUGUCCGUGGUUGCUUGUGGUUUAUUUGUUGAUAACUGAGACUAUUUAAAGAUUGCCAAAACAAAAGCCAUUUCUUUUCUCCCCGAAUAGCCUCAUUUUUUCUAUUCCCUUUUUCCCCUCCUAUUAACAUUUCUGGGGACUCUAAAGCAGAGCUCAAGAUGGUUCAGGACCACGGAGAGCGCAAGGAAGGGGAACUACCAAAGCACUUUAGUCAUGCAGGUGGGGAAAGAGAUGAUCCUAAAAUUGUUUUUAUUUUUCUGUUUUUUUGAGAGGGAGUCUCGCUCUGUCACCCAGGCUGGAGUGCAGUAGCACGAUCUUGGCUCACUUCAACCUCCGCGUCCCGGGUCCAAGCGAUUCUAGCGCCUCAGCCUCCUGAGUAGCUGGGAUUACAGGUGUGCACCACCAUGCCCAGCUAAUUUUUUGUAUUUUUAGUAGAGACUGGGUUUUGCCAUGUUGGCCAGGCUGGUCUCCAAUUCCUGACCUCCAGUGAUCCACCCCCCUCAGUCUCCCAAAGUGCUGGGAUUACAGGCGUGAGCCACCACGCCCAGCCAAUAGUGGAAUUGUUGCCGGACAAUAUUUAUUUAAAAGACAUUAUUGUAAAGAGUAACAGUGUAAUUCUGGCUCCUUGAAAUUUGAGGGGAAUGAUUUUUCUGGACAUUCGACCAGUGCUUUCUAAAUUUCUCCACUGAAUUCUAUCUAAUGACAGAUGAGAGGACACUGAAAGUAGGAGUAGCCAUAAGUCACCAGUGCAAAAUGUCUUUUGAAGUUUGCAUUUAUUGAUUGCUACCAUUUAUGUAAAGUUUUACAGUUUUGACAGUCAUAGGGUUCACCAAUCCACCAUAGAAGAGAAUUAAGUCAUGCGGACACAGCAGGGUUUAGAAUGGAUGAGUAGAGGAGUGUGUGCAGGCUCCAGUCCCCAAAGUCUCUAGGACUGUCCUAGAACCUGCAGCUCAUCUGUCAAUUCUGUCAACUACUCAGGAUCCUCUCAAGAAUUAUCCCCCCAUACCCACCUUUUAAAUUUCCUCAAGCUAGUUUCAUUUGAGUUUUGUCACUUGCAACUGAAUGAGCCCUGCUAAUGCAGAUAGAUUCAAUUGAGAAGGGGAAUUCUAGGCUAGGAGUACAAGGUUACAGGCAAGGAGACAGGAACAUAGCUUGGGAUUUCCUGGGGCAGUGAGAAAACUGACUUUAAAAAAAUGGAAUGGUUUCUAAAAUGUUUGUACAACUUCUCUGUAUGGCAAUGGGGUAGGAGUAUAAAUUCUUUCAGCUUCUUCUGAGGGCAGCUGAACAAGAAGUAUAAAAAUUUUGAAUGCUGAUAACAUUUGACCUAGCAAUUCCAUCUCUAGAAAUAAAUUCUACAGUAGUAAUCUUAAAAACGUAUUCACUGAAAUGUUAUUUUCUCAUAGAAAAUGUCGAAACAACAUAUGUGUCCAUCAAUAGAGAACUUGCUAAAUGAUUUAUACUACCUUUACAUAUUGAAAUACGCAUAGCCGUGGAAGAUAAUUUAGUAGAUCUAUAUGUCCCAUUAUGGAACAAUCCCCAUGGUGGGGGGAAAAGUAAGGUGCAGAACUGUAUCAUAGAUGUUCUCUCUCUCUCUCUUUUUUUUUGGAAAGCACAUGUAUGCUUUUAUAUACACAGAAAAAUUCUAGAAUGGCAAACAAGAUAUCUUUGCAAUAGUUUUUUUCUGGGAGGGGACUCAUUUAAAAAAAUUCUCCCAUAUUGCUUGUUUUGUUUUGUUAAAGACAUCCAUGUAUUCCUACUUGGGUUAAGCCAUGAUAACUAAAUAUGAUUAAAGUUCAGAACAAUAAAAACCUUAGAGAUGUAUACAUAAAUAUCACUUGCUUAGGAAUUUCUAGGUAGGUACUAUUUUAAGCCCUCUACAUAUAUUAUUUCAUUCAAUCCUUGGAGCAACUCUAGGAGGGAGGUGUUAUCCUCUAAUUGCAGAUGAGGUUGAUGAAGCUUAAAGAGUAAUGAUGCCUUGAGUCCAUCCUCUGGCUCCAAAGCCCUUGUAUUUAACUGUUCUCCCUUUUGCAUCCCUGUGCUAAAGUGACUUUGCUAUAAUAUCCACAAGGAAGAAUUUCUGUGUAAAAAUUAGACUUCCUUGCAGGCAGUCUAUCAGUGAUAUCCAAUAAAGACUCAAUAAUGGCUAACAAUACAAACCACACACACAAGAAAAACUUCUCCUUUUGUGCCAGGUACUUAGAUUAGGUGUAGUGGUUUUCUUAAACUGAUUAUCAAGGUAAACACCACCUCAUACAUUUCAGCAGAGAGCAGUGGUUUCUCUCUCCAGCAGUGGGAGCCAUUGAAUCAGGACAAUGCCACACAGUUGGGCUUUCAUGUUAGAUAGAUCACUCUUGUGGUUUUGGGGGAUGGCAUUAUAAGAGAGGAGACUGGAGACAGGGGGGCUAUUGUCAUGCAGAUUUGUUGGAUGUCCACCCAGCAUUCACUUUUUCCAUCUUUUGCCAGGGGUACACUACACAACAUCACCAGUCAUUUCAUAGAAUGGCAAUUAGAUUAGGCUUAGGUCUGCACUGCCUUCCUUCACUCCGCUCUGUCACUUGCCAUCAUUGUAAAUGCUGACAACUUAGUGCCUUUCAUGCUUCAAGUAUCAAUAAGAUAGGAAUAGUAAUAGUAUCACAUUGAAUUAUUGUGGAGUUUUGAACAGAUGAUACUUGUGUUAUCAGUGCUCAAUAAAUAUUAGCUGUCCUCUUCCUUAUUGUUGUUGUCCUCAACUAUGUAUUUUAAAUGGGAUUAGUCACACAACUCCUCAUGUCCCCCACCCAUUAAUACCUGACUCCUUUGCAAAACAAAGCAUAGCAUAUGGUGGUGGGGAUUACAAAAUCGUUACAGAAAUUUCAUAUGUAAAAAAGGGGCAAGAGUUGGCCAGUUUGACACUUCCUUAACCUAUUUUAUUUUUCUUAAAUAUUACAGUAUCACCAGAUAUACUUUCUAUUUAUUUCUUCUCUGAGAGUAUGCAAUUUGUCUGAUGUGUUGCCUGCUGUUUUUGGGUGAGUGAUAAAUAUGAGUUCUAUAUAGGGGGUGAAGAAAGCAUUCCAUGAGUGGGACUGUAUGAACAAUGGAGAAAAGUCAUGAAGGAAAGAUGGCAUUCCAUGUGGACUCGAGUAAAGUGAACAUGAUAUCUUGUCUAUAAGGGGGAUCAUACAUUUAAAGCAUUCAGCAACCUGUAACCAACACAACAGUCUUUCCAAGAAGAAGAGAGUAUGAGCUUUUAGAGGGGAAGAAAAGUAUCCUCUUCCCUUGAGAAGCAUUCAGAGCAUCUAGUAUCACACUUGGGAUAUAGCAGGCAUUUGGUACUCAAUUAAAGAAUAGAAUGUGAUUAAAUAACUUUGAGGGCCCACAUGGAUGACUUUGAAUACGGAUCAAAAGUUUGGACUUAGCUUGUCAGUAAUGAGGAGCCUUUGGUAUGAUCAACAGGAGAAGUAACAUAGCACAUCUGAGAUAUAGAGUAAAAUGGAAACCUUGAGCAAAGGUAGGCUAGUUAGGAGUCUGUUUCAAUAGACCAAAGGAGAUGGAGAGCAUGAGGGGCUCAGUUAGUCUUGUGGUGGUGGAAAUAAAGAGGAAAAAGCAGGUGCAGAAAACAUUCAGAGGAGGAAACAAUGGGCUGUUGAAACAAAUUGGAUAUUUGGGACAAUAGCAAGAGAAAAGUCAAAGAUAACUGGGAUUUUAAUCCUGAGCAACGGGUAGGCUAGUGAGACAUCUAAUCACUCUCCCCGUCUCCUUCCCUGAAAGUUAAUUACUCACAGAAAAAGCAUUAGCCAGAAGUCAGCAUGUUUACAUCAGUUCCUUAACCCUGCAAGUCCACAUUGGUGAUGCAGGUGGCCAAGACAGGUGCUGCACACACUGGAUUACAGCAUGGAAGAGGAGCCCAGGGUCAUGGAGGCACCCAGCAAGUGGCAAAAUAUGGGCACCUUGACCUACUGGGUUGCCUAUGUGACCAGCUACAGAAGCUGCUCAGUAUCAGGAGCUGGAGCUGCCUGCAAUCUGGCCACUCAGCAAGAAUUUUCAGAGACUGUUUCUAUUCCAUAGUGGAUGCUCCAUCCAACACCAUUCUUUUAAAGUGCGCACAUCUGAUCACUUUCCAAGUAUAAAUGGCCUGAAUUUAUUUUCCUUUCUUUACCAAAAUCCAACCUAAGUAAUUUUUUUCUUUCCAUACUCCUUAUUCAUGAACUCUAAUUGUUGGUAACUUUGAGAGCAUUGGUCAUCUUAAUUUCUUACCACUAAUGACAUGACAAGUUAAUUUCUGCAAUAAGAACAGCUAAAAUUAUUUUUAUAUCUUCUAACAUAAUAUUUUGUCAUGAAUGCUUUCCUAGAAUCUUCCUUCUGGAAUCCUACUUUUUAUGUAGUUUGGAGAUUCUCUUUUCUAAAAUAAAGAUUAGCAUGUAAGAUAAUAAAGUUAUUAUAUAUUUCAUCCAAACUGUAAAAAUACAUUGAAUAUUUUACUUCUUAAUUCCUCUAGGUAAUAUAAAAGUAUUUUAGACAGUUUUAUAUUGUAUUAAUUGAAGCAUAUCAAAGUUGAUUGAUUUCUAAAGACUGUGAACUCAACCCACAUAAGAGGAGGCAAAAGUAAAGAUUAGAACUUGCCAUUUCUAUUCCAGUCCAUUAAUUCUAGCUUAAGCUAUUUCUGAUAAGUGUGUACUCUGGAGAAAAAAAAAAUGUUAUUUGAAGAGUGGCCACUAUAUUUGUUUCUGGCAAAACUAAAGUUUUAAAAUUCCAGUUCCUCAACAAAUGGAAGAUGGAAUUUUCCAGUUCUUCAAAGUAUGAUUUUUAGGACUUGCUACUAAAGGUUAAAUUUUCUCUCUCUAUUAUAACAUAUUCAUGGAUCCUUUAGACAUUAAAGUAAAGUUGGAGUGGAAGAGUAGAAAAUAACAGA
rnacentral:lncRNA from 1 species